GGAGACGUGGCUGAGUGGUCGAAAGCACCUCACUGCUAACGAGGCAGGGCCUUAAAACCCUCGACGGUUCGAAUCCGUCCGUCUCCGCCA
rnacentral:tRNA from 1 species